rnacentral:rRNA from 1 species
UGGGGAAUUGUUCGCAAUGGGCGCAAGCCUGACGACGCAACGCCGCGUGGAGGAUGAAGGUCUUCGGAUUGUAAACUCCUGUCGAACGGGACGAACACCUUCCGGGUUAAUACUCCGGGAGGCUGACGGUACCGUGAGAGGAAGCCCCGGCUAACUCUGUGCCAGCAGCCGCGGUAAUACAGAGGGGGCAAGCGUUGUUCGGAAUUACUGGGCGUAAAGGGCGCGUAGGCGGCCCUCUAAGUCAGACGUGAAAUCCCUCGGCUCAACCGGGGAACUGCGUCUGAGACUGGAAGGCUUGAAUUCGGGAGAGGGAUGUGGAAUUCCAGGUGUAGCGGUGAAAUGCGUAGAUAUCUGGAGGAACACCGGUGGCGAAGGCGGCAUCCUGGACCGAUAUUGACGCUGAUGCGCGAAAGCCAGGGGAGCAAACGGG